ACUCCUACGGGAGGCAGCAGUGAGGAAUAUUGCACAAUGGACGCAAGUCUGAUGCAGCAACGCCGCGUGGAGGAUGAAGGCCCUUGGGUCGUAAACUCCUUUUUUCAGGGAAGAGAAUGGACGGUACCUGAAGAAUAAGUCACGGCUAACUACGUGCCAGCAGCCGCGGUAAUACGUAGGUGGCAAGCGUUAUCCGGAAUUACUGGGCGUAAAGCGCACGCAGGCGGUCUUUUAAGUUUGACGUGAAAGCUCCCGGCUUAACUGGGAGAGGUCGUUGAAUACUGGAAGACUUGAGGCAAUGAGAGGGGUGUAGAAUUCCCGGUGUAGUGGUGGAAUGCGUAGAUAUCGGGGGGAAUACCAGUGGCGAAAGCGGCACCCUAGCGUUAGCCUGACGCUCAUGUGCGAAAGCGUGGGGAGCGAACGGGAUUAGAUACCCCGGUAGUCCACGCUGUAAACGAUGAACACUGGGUGUAGGUGAUGUGAAAGUUAUCUGUACCGAAGCCAACGCG
rnacentral:rRNA from 1 species